rnacentral:rRNA from 1 species
UACGAAGGGGGCUAGCGUUGCUCGGAAUCACUGGGCGUAAAGCGCACGUAGGCGGCUUUCUAAGUCAGGGGUGAAAUCCUGGAGCUCAACUCCAGAACUGCCUUUGAUACUGGGGAGCUCGAGUCCGGAAGAGGUGAGUGGAACUCCGAGUGUAGAGGUGAAAUUCGUAGAUAUUCGGAAGAACACCAGUGGCGAAGGCGGCUCACUGGUCCGGUACUGACGCUGG